rnacentral:rRNA from 1 species
UACGUAAGUCCCAAGCGUUACCCGGAAUUACUGGGUGUAAAGGGUUUGUAGGCGGCUUAGAAAGUUGGAUAUGAAAGACCGAGGCUCAACCUCGUGUUUGUGUUCAAAACUCCUAAGCUAGAAUCUGGGAGAGGUUAGCGGAAUUCUGAGUGUAGGGGUGCAAUCCGUAGAUACUCAGAGGAACACCAAAAGCGAAGGCAGCUAACUGGAACAGUAUUGACGCUGAGGAACGAAAGCGUGGGGAGCGAAAAGG